rnacentral:rRNA from 1 species
UAGGGUGAAAGCGUUGUCCGGAAUUAGUGGGCGUAAAGAGCGCGUAGGCGGUCUGUCGCGUCUGCUGUGAAAACUCAGGGCUUAACCCUGAGCUUGCAGUGGGUACGGGCAGACUAGAGUGCGGUAGGGGAGACUGGAAUUCCUGGUGUAGCGGUGAAAUGCGCAGAUAUCAGGAGGAACACCGGUGGCGAAGGCGGUUCUCUGGGCCUUACCUGACGCUGAGGAGCGAAAGCGUGGGGAGCGAACAGG